AUGCCGGAGUCCUCGGCCACGGGAGGGCCCCGGGUCGCAGCGGCCACUGCCAACCACGGCAUGGCCCGGGGGCCAGGGCGAGCGGCUGCACGCAGAUUCCAGGAGCUUCUCCAGCAACACUGGGUACACCCUCCGGGCCACCCGGGCACCUCGACACCACCGCCGGGGAGAUGCCGACAGCCCGCUCUGUCCUCCCCUCCGCCGUUGGGGUGUCGCCCCAUGCACUGCCCUGAAAAUGCUGGCAGCUCCACUUCACUCGUCCUGCGCCCGGUGUUCCUCGAGUAUCUGCGCUGCGCUGGGGAGGCUGCCAGGGGCUGCACCGUAACAGCAGACAAGACCUUCCAGAGCUCACAAUCCAGCGGGGGAGCCAUGACCUUGCCCUGCAAGCUACAGGGUGCUGAAAUCGUGGGGAGAAUACACUCUUUUAUUUUUUUUAAAGAUUUAUUUAUUUAUUUGAGAGGCAAAGUUACAGAGAGAGAGGGACAGAGAAAGGUCUUCCAUUUGCUGGUUCACUCCCCAAAUGGCUACAAUGGCCGGGGCUGGGCCAGACAGGAACCAGGAGCUUCAGCUGGUCUCCCAAAUGCGUGCAGGGGCCCAAGCACUUUGGCCAUCUUCCAGUGCUUUCCCAGGCCAUUAACAGGGUGCCGGAUCAGAAGUGGAGCAGCUGGGGCUCACACUGACGCCCAUAUGGGAUACUGGUGCCAUAGGCGGAGGCUUAACCUACAAUGCCCCAGCGUCAGCCCUCGGGGAUGCACUCUCCGGCCAGAAAUAAGGGCCCCCACUCUGCCUGCGGGUCCGGGAAGGCCCCCCAGCACUGGCACGGCCGAGUCUCAAUGCUAGCGAGGAUGUAGGCGUAUCCAUCCCUGGAACCUGCAUUCCCUGGCCUGUCUGUAGAUUCCCUUUCACGAUCCAUGAAGCACCCACGAAGGACCCUGCCUCCUCCUAAACAGGCCAACAUUCUCUACUUCCGAACAUUUUUGUUCCUCUUCUCUUCCUCCCUGGAUUGACCUUGCUCUCACCUCUUUAUUUCAAAUUCCUGCUGUAUCUUCAAGAGCCACAGAAACACCGCUUCCUCCCUGAAGCCUCCCCUGGUUGUCAGAUUCGCACAAACCCUUGCCAUUUUGUGCACAAUGUACUGUGAGGUCUUCUGUAUGUCUUCCUGGUCCCACUGAACUCAGCAGGGCCAGGGACCACGUUUUGUUCAUCUUGGAGAGCCCCAGAGGGCCAAUCCACCGCAGUGCCUUAUACCCACGGCAAGGAGGUGAGGCCGGGAAGGGGCUGUGUAGAGACCUUUGGUCUCGGCUGUGUUGAAACACAAGCGGGCCGCCCCGUGGUAGGUUUGGACAGUUCUGUGUGCUGAAGGCCGCCACACUCAUCUGCUCCCUCACUGGCCUAGGCAGAGGUCAAGGGUAAAUCGCACUCAUGCCCUGUGCUGGCAUUUUGUAGGUCUGCAGGAAGCAUUUCUGAACCCCAACCAAGAGCAAAAAAUGUCUUUCACUUCACCCGUGUGCAGACAGGAUUGAAUCUCUGCAAAUACUGGGGCACUUCAGAAAGGUUGUGGAAAAUGCAAUUAAAAGAUGAAUUUAUUUUGGUGCAAAACACUCUAAAAUCUAUGCAUAUAAGGGAGCUUCACAAAUUGGUGGCGCGGGGCUGUGGGAGGCUCAGCAAGCUGAACUUCUGCCUGUGACGCCGGCAUCCCGUUUUAGGGUUGUUCUGCUUCUGAUCCAGCUCCCUGCUGAUGCGCCUGGAAAAGCAGUGGAAGGUGGCCCAAGUGCAUGGCUCCCCACCACUCCUGGGGGAGACCAGGACGGGGUUCCAGGAUCCUGGCUUCAGCCUGGCCCAGCCCUGGCCAUCGUGGCCACUUAGGGAGUGAACUAAUGGAGAGAAGCUCUCUCUCUCUCUCUCUCUGCCCCUGACCCUCCUCCCUCUCUGUUACUCUGAUUUUUAAAUAAACUAAUAAAUCUUUAAAAAGUUUUCA
ensembl:lncRNA